rnacentral:rRNA from 1 species
UACAGAGGGGGCAAGCGUUGUUCGGAAUUACUGGGCGUAAAGGGCGCGUAGGUGGCCGCCUAAGUCAGACGUGAAAUCCCUCGGCUCAACCGGGGAACUGCGUCUGAUACUGGGUGGCUUGAAUCCGGGAGAGGGAUGCGGAAUUCCAGGUGUAGCGGUGAAAUGCGUAGAUAUCUGGAGGAACACCGGUGGCGAAGGCGGCAUCCUGGACCGGCAUUGACGCUGAGGCGCGAAAGCCAGGGGAGCAAACGGG